AAUUCGCCCUUAGAGUUUGAUCCUGGCUCAGAUUGAACGCUGGCGGCAUGCCUUACACAUGCAAGUCGAACGGUAACGCGGGGCAACCUGGCGACGAGUGGCGAACGGGUGAGUAAUAUAUCGGAACGUGCCCAGUCGUGGGGGAUAACUGCUCGAAAGAGCAGCUAAUACCGCAUACGACCUGAGGGUGAAAGCGGGGGAUCUUCGGACCUCGCGCGAUUGGAGCGGCCGAUAUCAGAUUAGGUAGUUGGUGGGGUAAAGGCCUACCAAGCCGACGAUCUGUAGCUGGUCUGAGAGGACGACCAGCCACACUGGGACUGAGACACGGCCCAGACUCCUACGGGAGGCAGCAGUGGGGAAUUUUGGACAAUGGGGGCAACCCUGAUCCAGCCAUGCCGCGUGCGGGAAGAAGGCCUUCGGGUUGUAAACCGCUUUUGUCAGGGAAGAAAUCCUUUGGGCUAAUAACUCGGAGGG
rnacentral:rRNA from 1 species